rnacentral:rRNA from 1 species
UACGAAGGGGGCUAGCGUUGCUCGGAAUGACUGGGCGUAAAGGGCGCGUAGGCGGCUUGCACCGUCAGAUGUGAAAUUCCUGGGCUUAACCUGGGGGCUGCAUUUGAUACGUGUGGGCUUGAGUGCAGAAGAGGGUCGUGGAAUUCCCAGUGUAGAGGUGAAAUUCGUAGAUAUUGGGAAGAACACCGGUGGCGAAGGCGGCGACCUGGUCCGUGACUGACGCUGAGGCGCGAAAGCGUGGGGAGCAAACAGG